UGCCGGGAGCCGCCGCGCCUGGCGCACAGAGGGAAGCGUUGAUGCAUCGCUGUGGAAAUUCAUUGUGUGACUUUCUGGGUAUUUACUGAGUUUCAGACCGAGAUGCAGCUCUUGAAAGCUUUAUGGGCACUAGCAGGAGCAGCGAUCUGCUGUUUUCUUAUAUUUGUCAUCCACUCACAGUUUCUUAAAGAAGGUCAACUGGCUGCAGGUACAUGUGAGAUUGUUACUUUGGACAGAGAUAGCAGUCAGCCCCGAAGGACUAUAGCCCGACAAACAGCCCGCUGUGCAUGUAAAAAAGGACAGAUUGCCGGUACAACAAGAGCAAGGCCAGCAUGUGUUGAUGCACGAAUUAUCAAAACAAAACAGUGGUGUGAAAUGCUUCCAUGUUUAGAAGGAGAAGGCUGUGAUUUGCUAAUCAAUAAAUCAGGCUGGACCUGUACACAACCAGGAGGACGGAUAAAGACAACCACGCCUGUCUGAGGCCAUGUGGUUUGGAGAUCUGAUCACUAGUCCGAAAAGGAAAGGCUGUUUGCAAGAUUUCCGGGGUGUUUUUUCCUGGAAAAGGUCUCCUGACAAAUGCAGCAACACAGAAUCCUCGUAGGAGUGGUUUAGGCUCUCUGUGAGCUACUUAACUUAGUCAAGUUUCACUGCUGUUGAUCAUCAUCUGUUAUAUGUCAUCAACUCAACUGUCUGUUUCUCUGUAUCUCAUGAAUGACAGCAUAAUUCCUCUGCAUUAUGAGCUAAAGUUUGUUCUACCAUUCUAAGGAUCACUGGACUAAGGAAUAUAGAAAAAGAGAUAUGCUUGGGCAUUAGCAAUACAAAAAAGUUCAUGGUUAACGUUUCAUCUGCGUUAUACACCACUGCUGGACUUGCUGUUACCUACGUGUUUCAAUCCGAAGAGUCUGCUACAAUGAAGAGUAUCAUCCCAAUCAGCCUUAGAGAAGACUGUUUUGCCUAUGGGAGGACACUGAGGUGCAAAAGAGAAACUCUUCUUGUGCCCUAAACUGUCUGAAUUGCUUUUAUUUUCUUAUACUUUCAGUAUUUACAAUAGACCAAAGAGCAAAAUCUAUUUUAAAGUGGACACAAUCUUACUCUUAAGAGAGUUAUGUCAUUAAAUUGAAGGUCUCCACAAAGACAUGAUUCCAGCUUUCACAAAGCUGAAAUGUUGUCCAGCAGAAGUCUUUAUGGAAAGCUGAAGUAAAAACUAACUCAGAGACCUGCUCUUGAAAUGCCAUGUUCAAGAGAACGUAACGGAGCACUGAGAGAAAAUGACCUAUGUUUGAAAAACUUGGACAAAAAGAACACAAACUGUCUACACAGCACCUUUAUUCCUCUGUACUUAGAUUGACUUUCUCGUACUAAAAUCAUUUUCCGUUUUAACCAGUUAAACAUGCCUCUUCUACAGUUCCAUUUUUGAUAGUUAAAGUUGGAUAAUACAGUAUUUGCAAAGAGCAUGUUUGGUCAUCUGUGGCCUAUGUCUCAUCUGAUACACCAUUUAGCACCAGAACGCAAAUUAAAGAGAAAACAAAAGUAACACUUGUUUGAAAGAGAUCAUUAAAUGUAUUUUGAAAAGCCUAAAGUUAUAUAUUUAACAGUUUUUAUAUGUUGUAUAUUUGUAGAAAAUCCUAUUUAACAAUUAACGUGAUAACUCUGACAGUCAUGAAAAGUGGUUCAGAGUUAAGUUGUGUUUUAUUACUUCAGUUGUCUCUGAAGUGACCGGUGUCGUUUGCUUUCUUCCAUUGGGACAUUCUGGAUGUAAAGCAUGACCAGAGAGGACUGUGUAGAAAAAGCAAAGAAUAAUGUUGUUUAUAUUACAUAAAUGCAUUCAACCAUUGCACUGUUGGAAGGCAUUUUUUUUUUUGGUCUUUAUGUACUGAUAAAAAUAGAGUGUAAAAUAUUUUACUCAUUGCUCUUCAUAGCAAGGU